rnacentral:rRNA from 1 species
UACGUAGGGUGCAAGCGUUGUCCGGAAUUAUUGGGCGUAAAGAGCUCGUAGGCGGUCUGUCGCGUCGGCUGUGAAAACCUGAGGCUCAACCUCGGGCCUGCAGUCGAUACGGGCAGACUAGAGUUCGGUAGGGGAGACUGGAAUUCCUGGUGUAGCGGUGAAAUGCGCAGAUAUCAGGAGGAACACCGGUGGCGAAGGCGGGUCUCUGGGCCGAAACUGACGCUGAGGAGCGAAAGCGUGGGGAGCGAACAGG